rnacentral:rRNA from 1 species
UACGAAGGGUGCAAGCGUUACUCGGAAUUACUGGGCGUAAAGAGCUCGUAGGCGGUGUGUCACGUCGGCCGUGAAAACCUGCAGCUUAACUGUGGGCGUGCGGUCGAUACGGGCAUCACUGGAGUUCGGCAGGGGAGACUGGAAUUCCUGGUGUAGCGGUGAAAUGCGCAGAUAUCAGGAGGAACACCGGUGGCGAAGGCGGGUCUCUGGGCCGAUACUGACGCUGAGGAGCGAAAGCGUGGGGAGCAAACAGG